UAGGGAAUCUUCGGCAAUGGGGGGCAACCCUGACCGAGCAACGCCGCGUGAGUGAAGAAGGUUUUCGGAUCGUAAAGCUCUGUUGUAAGAGAAGAACGUGUGUGAGAGUGGAAAGUUCACACAGUGACGGUAACUUACCAGAAAAGGGCGGCUAACUACGUGCCAG
rnacentral:rRNA from 1 species